UGCCUUUGCGAGAGCGGAGUUGGGUUCUCCUCAGCACAGACGCGGAGAGCAUCGCGAGGGCGGAGCUGCGUUCUCAUCUGCACAGAUUUCAGUGGUACUGCGAAGGCGGAGCAGAGUUCUCCUCAGAUGAUGAUUAUUCCCCACCUUCUAAGAGACAAAGACCAACGAGCCGCCACAGCCACCAGUCCCAGAACCCGCCAAUGCUGGGGAACGGAAAAUGAGGGAGUUCAACUCUGGCCCUCACAAUCCAGUGGAGGAGACGCAACUCAUCUGCCUCUGUCCCUCUGGGCACGCCUCGUGCCAGGUGCAUCUGUGGACAGGGGCCAUGCUCCUGGGCUUCCAAAGUUGGAGAAAGCUGCCAGGCUCAGGUCUGAAGGCCAGAAUUCUACAGUAAGUCCUACUGAGUCAAGGUGGGAGCAGGGUCGGUAGCUUCCGAGGCUCUGCGGGAGAAUCUGUUUCCUGGCCGUAGAGGUGGCCUGCACUCCUCAGCCUGUGCUGCCCGUCUCGAAUGACUGGAGUUUCCUGCUUCUGUCACUACACCUCCCACCCUCUCCAUCACCUGCUCUGCUCUUACAAGGAUCCGAAGAAAUGGAAUCAUCGUAUCGCUGAUCUACGUAAACAAACUGAAGAAUUGUCUGAAAGAAAAUAUGACAUGAACUUAUGAAUUCAAUAGGUGAAGAUUUACAACUUGAUAAAUCAACUUUGUCAGCUCGAGCUGUAAAAGCCAAAGGUCCGGUGAUGAUCCCAUACCCUUUUUUCCAGUCUCAUGUUGAAGAUUUUUAUGUAGAAGGCCUUCCCAAAGGAAUUUUUUUUUUUUUUUUUUUUUUGAGAUGGAGUUUUCACUCUUAUCGCCCAGGCUGGGGUGCAAUGGCACAACCUUGCUGGUCACUGCAACCUCUGCCUCCUGGGUUCAAGAAAUUCUCCUGCCUUAGCCUCCCAAGUCACUGGGAUUACAGGUGCCCACCACCACACCAGGCUAAUUUUUGUAUUUUUAGUGGAGAUGCGGUUUCACCAUGUUGGCCGGGCCAGUCUCGAACUCCUGACGUCAAGUGAUCUUCCCGCCUCGACUCCUGAUAUCAAGUGAUCUUCCCGCCUCGGCCUCCCAGAGUGCUGAGAUUACAGACGUGAACCCAUGCCUGGCCAGGAAUUUUGUUUUUUAGGAAGGCUUUCUACUAAUGGAAUUCCUGGCCUUGAGAGGAUGUUACUUUAGAAGGAAAGGAUUUUUUUGUUAUUAAAAGAGCCACCUAAGCUGAAGAUUCCCUUGAGAACAAGUACUGUCCCUAGUUUCCCAGUGCUGGAAUAUAGAAAAUGGAUGGACAACUGGACCUACCAUGAAAGACUUCUGAAUCCAGGAAGAGAAACUGACUGGGCAACAUGUUAUUCAGAGACAGCGUCUUGCUCUGUUGCUUAGGCUACAGUACAG
rnacentral:lncRNA from 1 species